GGAGGUGUGGCAGAGUGGCUUAAUGCACCGGAUUUACACUCCGGAGGGCUCCCAAGCUUCGCGGCGUCAGGGCUCCGUAGGUUCGAAUCCUAUCACCUCCG
rnacentral:tRNA from 1 species